rnacentral:tRNA from 4 species
GGUUGGCGUAGGUUUCGGUUACUUCGACUGUUAAUCGAGAGGUCGCGGGUUCGAGUCCCGCCGUCGAGCU